rnacentral:rRNA from 1 species
AACGAACGCUGGCGGCAUGCCUAACACAUGCAAGUCGAACGAGACCUUCGGGUCUAGUGGCGCACGGGUGCGUAACGCGUGGGAACCUGCCCUUAGGUUCGGAAUAACUCCCCGAAAGGGGUGCUAAUACCGGAUAAUGUCUUCGGACCAAAGAUUUAUCGCCUUUGGAUGGGCCCGCGUUGGAUUAGCUAGUUGGUAGGGUAAAAGCCUACCAAGGCGACGAUCCAUAGCUGGUCUGAGAGGAUGAUCAGCCACACUGGGACUGAGACACGGCCCAGACUCCUACGGGAGGCAGCAGUGGGGAAUAUUGGACAAUGGGCGAAAGCCUGAUCCAGCAAUACCGCGUGAGUGAUGAAGGCCUUAGGGUUGUAAAGCUCUUUUACCCGGGAUGAUAAUGACAGUACCGGGAGAAUAAGCUCCGGCUAACUCCGUG